rnacentral:rRNA from 1 species
ACCCGGGGAACUGAAACAUCUAAGUACCCGGAGGAAGAGAAAUCAAACGAGAUGCCCACAGUAGCGGCGAGCGAAGAGGGCAGAGGGCAAACCGAGGAGCUACGGCUCUUCGGGGUUGAGGACUGCAUUUAGUCUUAAUGGUCUAUCCGAACUACCUGGAAAGGUAGGCAACACAGUGUAAAAGCCACGUAGGUUAAAGGCCAGAGAGAUGAGCAGUAUCCAGAGUACCACGAGGCACGAGGAAUCUUGUGGGAAGCCGGGGGGACCACCCUCCAACCCUAAACACUGAAUGGCGACCGAUAGCGCAUAGUACCGUGAGGGAAAGGUGAAAAGAACCCCGGGAGGGGAGUGAAAGAGAACCUGAAACCGUAUGUCUACAAGCAGUCGGAGCGAAAGCGACGGCGUGCCUAUUGAAGAAUGAACCAACGAGUUACGUGCACUAGCGAGGUUAAGUGGAAGACACGGAGCCGAAGCGAAAGCGAGUCUUAAGAGGGCGGAUAGUUAGUGUACGUAGACCCGAAACCGCAGUGAUCUACCCAUGUCCAGGUUGAAGCGCAGGUAAAAUUGCGUGGAGGACCGAACCUGUGAGCGUUGAAAAGCUUUAGGAUGAGAUGUGGGUAGAGGUGAAAUUCCAAUCGAACGCGGAGAUAGCUGGUUCUCCCCGAAAUAGCUUUAGGGCUAGCCUCAAGUAGUAAGUAUAGGCGGUAGAGCACUGAUCGGGCUAGGGGCCAUAAAGGUUACCGAACCCUGUCAAACUCCGAAUGGUUAUACUGUAGAGCUUGGGAGUCAGACUACGAGUGAUAAGAUCCGUGGUCAAAAGGGAAACAGCCCAGACCACCAGCUAAGGUCCCCAAUGUCGUACUAAGUGGAAAAGGAUGUGGGGUCUCUAAAACAACCAGGAUGUUGGCUUAGAAGCAGCCACCAUUUAAAGAGUGCGUAAUAGCUCACUGGUCGAGAGACCCUGCGCCGAAGAUUACCGGGGCUAAAGUACGAAACCGAAGCUGUGGCUACGACGUAAGUCGUGGGGUAGGGGAGCGUUCUGUGAGGGCUGAAGUCGUUCUGUAAGGAACGGUGGACUUCACAGAAGUGAGAAUGUUGGUAUGAGUAGCGAAAAGAAUGGUGAGAAUCCAUUCCACCGAAAGCAUAAGGAUUCCUGGGCAACGAUCGUCGUCCCAGGGUAAGUCGGGACCUAAUCCGAGGCAUGGAGCGUAGGAGAUGGAUAACUGGCAGAUAUUCCAGUACCGGUAAUGAUUGUUUGAGCGAUGGAGUGACACAGGAGGGCAGGCAGGCAGGAGAUUGGUUGUUCCUGUACAAGCGUGUAGGAUGGGACGUAGGCAAAUCCGCGUCCUGUGAGUCUGAGGCGUGAUGUGGAGGUUCCGGAAACGGAACUGAAGCUGCUGACCCCACACUGUCGAGAAAAGCUUCUAGUUAGAGAAUUACCGCCCGUACCGUAAACCGACACAGGUAUGCGGGGAGAGAAUCCUAAGGUGCGCGGGAGAACCCUCGUUAAGGAACUCGGCAAAAUGUACCCGUAACUUCGGGAUAAGGGUAGCCGCUGUUGUGAAGUCUGAACAGAUGGAGCAUGAGGCGGUCGCAGAGAAGAGGCCCAAGCGACUGUUUACCACAAACACAGGUGCCUGCUAAAGAGAAAUCUGACGUAUAGGUGCUGACACCUGCCCAGUGCCGGAAGGUUAAGGAAGGAUGUCCGGAGCAAUCCAAAGCAUUCGACCGAAGCCCCGGUGAACGGCGGCCGUAACUAUAACGGUCCUAAGGUAGCGAAAUUCCUUGUCGGGUAAGUUCCGACCCGCACGAAAGGUGUAACGAUUUGGGCACUGUCUCAACGAGGGACCCGGUGAAAUUGAAGUACCUGUGAAGAUGCAGGUUACCCGCGACUGGACAGAAAGACCCCAUGGAGCUUUACUGUAACCUGACAUUGGGUUCUGAUACAUCACGUACAGGAUAGGUGGGAGGCAUGGAAGCGAGGACGCUAGUCUUCGUGGAGCCGCCGUUGGGAUACCACCCUUGAUGUAUCGGAAUUCUAACCGUAGGAGUAACGAAACUCGGGACAGUGUCAGGCGGGCAGUUUGACUGGGGCGGUCGCCUCC